UACGUAGGGGGCUAGCGUUGUCCGGAAUCACUGGGCGUAAAGCGCACGUAGGCGGAUCUUUAAGUCAGGGGUGAAAUCCUGGAGCUCAACUCCAGAACUGCCCUUGAUACUGGGGAUCUUGAGUCCGGAAGAGGUGAGUGGAACUCCGAGUGUAGAGGUGAAAUUCGUAGAUAUUCGCAAGAACACCAGUGGCGAAGGCGGCUCACUGGCCCGGUACUGACGCUGAGGUGCGAAAGCGUGGGGAGCAAACAGG
rnacentral:rRNA from 1 species